rnacentral:rRNA from 1 species
AUACGGAGGGUGCAAGCGUUAUUCGGAAUCACUGGGCGUAAAGGACGCGUAGGCGGGUCGGCAAGUCAGAUGUGAAAUCCUACAGCUUAACUGUAGAACUGCAUUUGAAACUGCUAACCUAGAGUAUGGGAGGGGGAGAUGGAAUUAGUGGUGUAGGGGUAAAAUCCGUAGAUAUCACUAGGAAUACCGAAAGCGAAGGCGAUCUCCUGGAACAUAACUGACGCUAAGGCGUGAAAGCGUGGGGAGCAAACAGGAUUAGAAACCCCAGUAGUCC